rnacentral:rRNA from 1 species
GACAGAGGAUGCAAGCGUUAUCCGGAAUGAUUGGGCGUAAAGCGUCUGUAGGUGGCUUUUUAAGUCCGCCGUCAAAUCCCAGGGCUUCAACCCUGGACAGGCGGUGGAAACUACCAAGCUGGAGUACGGUAGGGGCAGAGGGAAUUUCCGGUGGAGCGGGUGAAAUGCGUAGAGAUCGGAAAGAACACCAACGGCGAAAGCAACUCUGCUGGGCCGACACUGACACUGGAGAGACGAAAGCUAGGGGAGCGAAUGGGA